AUUGAACGCUGGCGGCAGGCCUAACACAUGCAAGUCGAACGAGUGGCGGACGGGUGAGUAAUGUCUGGGAAACUGCCCGAUGGAGGGGGAUAACUACUGGAAACGGUAGCUAAUACCGCAUACCAUCGGAUGUGCCCAGAUGGGUUUAGCGAGUAGGUGGGGUAACGGCUCACCUAGGCGACGAUCCCUAGCUGGUCUGAGAGGAUGACCGGCCACUCUGGAACUGAGCAACGGCCCAGACUCCUACGGGAGGCAGCAGUGGGGAAUAUUGCACAAUGGGGGCAAGCCUGAUGCAGCCAUGCCGCGGGUAUGAAGAAGGCCUUCGGGUUGUAAAGUACUUUCAGCGAGGAGGCGUUACUCGCAGAAGAAGCACCGGCUAACUCCGUGCCAGCAGCCGCGGUAAUAC
rnacentral:rRNA from 1 species